rnacentral:rRNA from 1 species
AUUGAACGCUGGCGGCAUGCUUUACACAUGCAAGUCGAACGGUAACAGGCCGCAAGGUGCUGACGAGUGGCGAACGGGUGAGUAAUGCAUCGGAACGUGCCCAGUCGUGGGGGAUAACGCAGCGAAAGCUGUGCUAAUACCGCAUACGAUCUGUGGAUGAAAGCGGGGGACCGUAAGGCCUCGCGCGAUUGGAGCGGCCGAUGUCAGAUUAGGUAGUUGGUGGGGUAAAGGCUCACCAAGCCGACGAUCAGUAGCUGGUCUGAGAGGACGACCAGCCACACUGGGACUGAGACACGGCCCAGACUCCUACGGGAGGCAGCAGUUGGGAAUUUUGGACAAUGGGCGCAAGCCUGAUCCAGCAAUGCCGCGUGCAGGAAGAAGGCCUUCGGGUUGUAAACUGCUUUUGUACGGAGCGAAAAGGCUCUCUCUAAUACAGGGGGCUCAUGACGGUACCGUAAGAAUAAGCACCGGCUAACUACGUGCCGGCCGCCGCAGUAACAC